UUCGAAAUCCAACAGGUGCAAAGGCGCAU
rnacentral:piRNA from 1 species